UUGGUGGUGUCAAGGGAUAUCUUCCGAUUCCUCCCAAAAGCAAAUUCCUGUGCAAACAUAAGAAGGGCCAGACUAGGUCAUACCAGUGGUCCGUCUAGCCCAGUAUCCGACAGCGGCCAAUGGAGGAGCUCCAGAGGGAAUGAACAGAACAGGUGCUGCGCUGGGGGACUCGGUCCAGUCCAGGGAACCCCACCUUUCUGGAAGAGAAGGGGACGCUGUGACCCUCACUUGUUCCUAUGAUACCAGCUCUACCGGCUACGUCUAUCUCUUCUGGUACCGUCAGUUUCCCAACCAAGCCCCGCAGUACAUUCUCUUUAGAGGAGUGAAGCAAGCCAGAGAUGAGAGUAAUACCGCAGAUUUCGCCAAGGAGAGGUUUUCUUCCCAGGCUACUGACAGCUCCACAGCUCUGAGCAUCAGAGCCCUGGAGCUGGCGGACACAGCGGUGUAUUACUGCGCUCUGGGUGUGACACAGUGACAGAGCCACAUAGGACAGACGUAC